GGAACCUACGGGACGCAGCAGUCGGGAAUAUUGCGCAAUGGAGGAAACUCUGACGCAGUGACGCCGCGUGCAGGAAGAAGGUUUUCGGAUUGUAAACUGCUUUAGAUAGGGAAGAAAAAAAUGACGGUACCUAUAGAAUAAGCUCCGGCUAACUACGUGCCAGCAGCCGCGGUAAUACGUAGGGAGCAAGCGUUAUCCGGAUUUAUUGGGUGUAAAGGGUGCGUAGAUGGAUAAACAAGUUGUUUGUGAAAUACCUCGGCCCAACUGAGGAGCUGCAAGCAAAACUGUAUAUCUUGAGUACUGGG
rnacentral:rRNA from 1 species